CAGCUUGACUGCGAGCGUGACGGCGCGAGCAGGUGCGAAAGCAGGUCAUAGUGAUCCGGUGGUUCUGAAUGGAAGGGCCAUCGCUCAACGGAUAAAAGGUACUCCGGGGAUAACAGGCUGAUACCGCCCAAGAGUUCAUAUCGACGGCGGUGUUUGGCACCUCGAUGUCGGCUCAUCACAUCCUGGGGCUGAAGUAGGUCCCAAGGGUAUGGCUGUUCGCCAUUUAAAGUGGUACGCGAGCUGGGUUUAGAACGUCGUGAGACAGUUCGGUCCCUAUCUGCCGUGGGCGCUGGAGAACUGAGGGGGGCUGCUCCUAGUACGAGAGGACCGGAGUGGACGCAUCACUGGUGUUCGGGUUGUCAUGCCAAUGGCACUGCCCGGUAGCUAAAUGCGGAAGAGAUAAGUGCUGAAAGCAUCUAAGCACGAAACUUGCCCCGAGAUGAGUUCUCCCUGACUCCUUGAGAGUCCUGAAGGAACGUUGAAGACGACGACGUUGAUAGGCCGGGUGUGUAAGCGCAGCGAUGCGUUGAGCUAACCGGUACUAAUGAACCGUGAGGCUUAACCUU
rnacentral:rRNA from 1 species